GGAGUGUAUAGCUCAGUGGUAGAGCAUUCGACUGCAGAUCGGGAGGUUCCCGGUUCAAACGCGGGUACCCCCU
rnacentral:tRNA from 1 species